AAUUGCAUUGCUUGUUAUAUGAAAUGACAAACACGAUUGGUCAAUUCCAAUAAACUAACAGGUUGAUUUGCAUUGAUAAAGAUUGGUGAAAGUGGCCCAUAGUCAAAAACAUCAAAAAGAUCAAGGACAAGAUAAAUUCUUACGACACCCGAAUAUUCCGAAUACAAGAAAAUACAAGACAAUAAAAACAAAAAAAAUAUGAUGAUUCACUGUAUUGCGAUGUGUUUUGUGUCUCUUACUAGAAAAUAUCUCAAUAGAAAAUAUAUUAAAUAAUUGAUACUAAAAAGUUCUACACUACUUAAUUAUUAAUACUAUCAACAUUAUCUGGUUUAUAAUGUUAUUCAUCUUCUUGAUAUUCAGCGCACCUCUCCUUGACAAGUUUGAUAGCAAACACGCGUGGUCUGCUUGGCUUUGGUUUCUUUUUUUGCACAUAUGUACUUUUGGGCUAGUCAUUCAUUCAAUUGUUUCAUAUUUUGAAGAUGCAAUUAUCACCGAUGAUUUAAUUAAUUUUAUAUUUUAUGACAAUGAAGACAAUAAUGAAUAGCAGAGUUGGAAACAUGGAGUAUUUGAGAGUACGGUAGCCAAGAUAAGUAAAAAACGAUGCAAAUCCCUGUGGUACUGGAUAAGCGAUGCUCUCUGUAGCGUAUCUAUAUCGCUGUAAGAGCAUAAACAGCAACCAUCGUCUAGCUUCAUCUAAUUGGUCUCUGCAAAAAAUAUGAAAAUAUUCUAUGCAAUUAUGAAACAGAGAUCAGCUUACACGAGAUUAAAGCCACGUUCCUGCUCAAUUCUCGGAUCAACACCGGCUGCUCUGCAAAGUAUUUGGCAUAAUAUACGCGAAGAUUCCAAUUGCGCAGCAACGUAUCUUGUGGCCAUGGCAUGAACAUGCAACGGAGUACAAGAACCACGUGUGUGCAUAGUCGACGUGUGCGUGCCGUUCUUUAGAAGAUACAUUGAAAGUUCUCGCAAAUUAACAGAUACAAUGUGCUCUUGUUUCGAAGCAGUGCAACUUUCCGUUUCGUUAAACGGUAAGCCCGAGUCCAACUUGAUAUUCCGAUUGCCCAUAAAGUCUCCAAGCGGCAUUGCAACAAAUCUGUAACAUGUCAUCAUUUAUUGUUUGAACACACUUAUCUAGUUAUUGUAAAAAAACAUUUCUGUAAAAAUUUGGGCUAGUUUUAUGAGCAACAUCAUAAAAGUAAUAAACAUAUAUAAAGUGUUCGAUAAUACAUGGAAGAAAAUUUAAGGAGAAACUCUAGAUAAUAAAAUGAAAAUUUCGAGAAUAACAUUUGCUAUUAAGAACGUUUACUUUUAAUUUUUAAUUAUAAUGUAUAAAUAUUCACGUGCCUUAGGCAUUUUUUACAUAAAUAUUUAAACAUUAUAAUUAAAAAAUAAAGCUUAAAUUGUAAUUUUAUUAAUUUUAAUUUUUAUCUUAUUUUAUCUCUCAUCUAAAAGCAUUCUUCAAAUUUUCUUCCACCUGCCGAAUACUCUGUAUAAAUUACAUACAAAUAAUA
rnacentral:lncRNA from 13 species